rnacentral:rRNA from 1 species
AUUGUAGGCUGAAACUCGCCUAUAUGAAGUCGGAAUUGCUAGUAAUCGCGGAUCAGCAUGCCGCGGUGAAUACGUUCCCGGGCCUUGUACACACCGCCCGUCACACCAUGAGAGUCGAUAACACCCGAAGCCUGUAGUCUAACCAUAUGGGGGACGCAGUCGAAGGUGGGAUUGAUAAUUAGGGUGAAGUCGUAACAAGGUAAC